UACAGACAUUCUCUCUGCCAAAAAAG
rnacentral:piRNA from 1 species